rnacentral:rRNA from 1 species
CUAGCCGUAAACGAUGGGUACUAGGUGUAGGUGGUUUCGAUACCAUCUGUGCCGGAGUUAACGCAAUAAGUACCCCGCCUGGGGAGUACGUGCGCAAGCAUGAAACUCAAAGGAAUUGACGGGGGCCCGCACAAGCGGUGGAGCAUGUGGUUUAAUUCGAAGCAACGCGAAGAACCUUACCAGGUCUUGACAUCCCUUGAAAACCUCAGAGAUGAGGCCUCUCUUCGGAGCAAGGAGACAGGUGG